GGGGUGUUGGUGGAAUUGGUUACCACGCCGCCCUCUCAAGGCGGAGGCUACGGGUUCGAUCCCCGUACACCCUA
rnacentral:tRNA from 3 species